UUAUACCGUGAAACUGCGAAUGGCUCAUUAAAUCAGUUAUCGUUUAUUUGAUAGUACCUUACUACUUGGAUAACCGUGGUAAUUCUAGAGCUAAUACAUGCUGAAAACCCCAACUUCGGAAGGGGUGUAUUUAUUAGAUAAAAAACCAAUGCCCUUCGGGGCUUCUUGGUGAUUCAUAAUAACUUCUCAGAUCGCAUGGCCUUGCGCCGGCGACGGUUCAUUCAAAUUUCUGCCCUAUCAACUUUCGAUGGUAAGGUAUUGGCUUACCAUGGUUUCAACGGGUAACGGGGAAUUAGGGUUCGAUUCCGGAGAGGGAGCCUGAGAAACGGCUACCACAUCCAAGGAAGGCAGCAGGCGCGCAAAUUACCCAAUCCCGACACGGGGAGGUAGUGACAAUAAAUACUGAUACAGGGCUCUUUUGGGUCUUGUAAUUGGAAUGAGUACAAUUUAAACCUCUUAACGAGGAACAAUUGGAGGGCAAGUCUGGUGCCAGCAGCCGCGGUAAUUCCAGCUCCAAUAGCGUAUAUUAAAGUUGUUGCAGUUAAAAAGCUCGUAGUUGAACCUUUGGCCUGGCUGGCAGGUCCGCCUCACCGCGUGUACUUGUCCGGCCGGGCCUUCUUUUCUGGAGAACCGCAUGCCCUUCACUGGGUGUGUUGGGGACCAGGACUUUUACUUUGAAAAAAUUAGAGUGUUCAAAGCAGGCCUUUGCUCGAAUACGUUAGCAUGGAAUAAUAGAAUAGGACGUGCGGUCCUAUUUUGUUGGUUUCUAGGACCGCCGUAAUGAUUAAUAGGGACAGUCGGGGGCAUCAGUAUUCAAUUGUCAGAGGUGAAAUUCUUGGAUUUAUUGAAGACUAACUACUGCGAAAGCAUUUGCCAAGGAUGUUUUCAUUAAUCAGUGAACGAAAGUUAGGGGAUCGAAGACGAUCAGAUACCGUCGUAGUCUUAACCAUAAACUAUGCCGACUAGGGAUCGGGCGGUGUUUCUAUUUUGACUCGCUCGGCACCUUACGAGAAAUCAAAGUGUU
rnacentral:rRNA from 1 species